rnacentral:rRNA from 1 species
GACGAACGCUGGCGGCGUGCCUAAUACAUGCCAGUAGAACGCCGUUGCGCACGGGUGAGUAACGCGUAGGUAACUGCCUCAUAGCGGGGGAUAACUAUUGGAAACGAUUGCUAAUACCGCAUACUGUGAGAUGGACCUGCUUUGUAUUAGCUAGUUGGUGAGGUAAAGGCUCACCAAGGCGACUAUACAUAGCCGACCUGAGAGGGUGAUAGGCCAAACUGGGACGGAGACACGGCCCAGACUCCGACGUGAGGAAGCAGGGGGGAAUAUUGGACAAUGGGGGCAAGCCUGAUGCAGCCAUGCCGCGUGUAUGAAGAAGGCCUUCGGGUUGUAAAGUACUUUCAGCGGGGAGGCGUUACCCGCAGAAGAAGCACCGGCUAACUCCGUGCCAGCAGCCGCGGUAAUUC